rnacentral:tRNA from 1 species
GCCUUCGUGGUGUAACGGUUAGCACACUGGGCACAUAUAGAGAGGCCCAGGUUCGAGUCCCGGCGAGGGCA